GCAGCAGGUCGGUUUGUCGCUACGACACUCGUGUCGUGGAGGAAAGUCCGGGCAACACAGAGCACCAUGCUUCCUAACGGGAAGGUGUCCGUGAGGGCAGAUAAGCGUAACAGAAAAUGACCGCCCCGGCUGAUGUCGGGGUAAGGGUGAAAAGGUGAGGUAAGAGCUCACCGGACGCCGCAGUAAUGCGGUGUGCCGUACGCAUUAUGGGUUGCAAGGCCAUGUAUAUCGGAUUUUUAGGGUUGCUCGCCCGAUGCCGAGGGGUAGGCCGCUAAAGGAGAGUGGUGACAUUUCUCCGUAGAUAAAUGACAAACAUCCGAUUCGUCGGUAUACAGAACCCGGCUUAUAGACCGGCUGCUUUU
rnacentral:RNase_P_RNA from 1 species